rnacentral:sRNA from 1 species
AGCAGCCGCGGUAAUUCCAGCUCCAAUAGCGUAUAUUAAAGUUGUUGCAGUUAAAAAGCUCGUAGUUGAAUUUCGGGGUCAGUAGAUUGGUCGUGCCACUGGUAUGUACUGGUCUUACUGGCUCCUCCUUCCUGAUGAACCGUAAUGCCAUUAAUUUGGUGUUGCGGGGAGACUGGACUGUUACUUUAGAAAAAUUAGAGUAGUUUAAAGCAGGCUAACGCUUGAAUACAUUAGCAUGGAAUAAUGAAAUAGGACGUUCGAUCUUAUUUUGUUGGUUUCUAAGAUUGACGUAAUGAUUAAUAGGGAUAGUUGGGGGCAUUAGUAUUCAAUUGUCAGAGGUGAAAUUCUUGGAUUUAUUGAAGACUAACUACUGCGAAAGCAUUUGCCAAGGAUGUUUUCAUUAAUCAAGAACGAA